rnacentral:rRNA from 1 species
CACGUAGGGGCCAAGCGUUGUCCGGAUUUAUUGGGCGUAAAGAGCUCGUAGGCGGUUCAGCAAGUCGGGUGUGAAAACUCUGGGCUCAACCCAGAGACGCCACCCGAUACUGCUGUGACUAGAGUCCGGUAGGGGAGUGGGGAAUUCCUGGUGUAGCGGUGAAAUGCGUAGAGAUCAGGAGGAAUACCGGUGGCGAAAGCGACUCUCUGGACGGCAACUGACGCUGAGGCACGAAGGCCAGGGGAGCAAACGGG